GCCUCGUGGUUCCUAGAGUCAGCUCCAAAGUGCUGAUCCGUGGGUUUUUGUAAACAGGCACAUAUUGAUUCUGCGAUUUUAUGCAUGGAAGCCGCCGCUGUUGCAGCCUUCCAUAGCCCGGUUGCAGAUACAUGG